AUAAAGUUUUUACGAUCUGAUCGUGGAGGAGAAUAUUUGAGUUACAAGUUUGGUUUACAUUUGAAACAAUGCGGAAUAGUUUCACAACUCACGCCACCCGGAACACCACAAUGUAAUGGUGUGUCCGAACGUCGUAAUUGUACUUUACUAGAUAUGGUGCGAUCUAUGAUGCCUCUUACUGAUUUACCGCUAUCGUUUUGGGGUUAUGCUUUAGAGACGGCCGCAUUCACGUUAAAUAGGGCACCAUCAAAAUCCGUUGAGACAACGCCUUAUGAACUGUGGUUUAGCAAGAAACCGAAGUUGUCGUUUCUUAAAGUUUGGGGCUGCGAUACUUAUGUGAAGAAACUUCAACCAGAUAAGCCCGAACCCAAAUCGAAGAAAUGUGUCUUCAUAGGAUACCCAAAAGAGACUAUUGGCUACACCUUCUAUCACAGAUAA
rnacentral:rRNA from 1 species